rnacentral:misc_RNA from 1 species
UCCCCGUUAUCCGGGGCGGUUUCGCUAGAGUGCCCGGCUUGACCCGCUGGCAACUAACGAUAAGGGUUGCGCUCGUUGCGGGACUUAACCCAACAUCUCACGACACGAGCUGACGACAGCCAUGCAGCACCUCCGCAGCAGUUCUUGCGAAAAGGGAUGUUUCCAUCCCGGUCCACUGCGCUUCGAGCCCAGGUAAGGUUCUUCGCGUUGCGUCGAAUUGAACCACAUGCUCCACCGCUUGUGCGGGCCCCCGUCAACUCCUUUGAGUUUCAGCCUUGCGACCGUACUCCCCAGGCGGGAUGCUUAACGCGUUAGCUGCGGCACGGCCGGAUUGGGUACCGGCCACACCAAGCAUCCAUGGUUUAGGGCUAGGACUAC